rnacentral:rRNA from 1 species
GACGAACGCUGGCGGCGUGCUUAACACAUGCAAGUCGAACGAUGAAGCUGGAGCUUGCUCCGGUGGAUUAGUGGCGAACGGGUGAGUAACACGUGAGCAAUCUGCCCUUGACUCUGGGAUAACUGCAGGAAACUGUAGCUAAUACCGGAUAUGAGGCUCGAAGGCAUCUUCGGGUCUGGAAAGAAUUUCGGUCAAGGAUGAGCUCGCGGCCUAUCAGCUUGUUGGUGAGGUAAUGGCUCACCAAGGCGACGACGGGUAGCCGGCCUGAGAGGGUGACCGGCCACACUGGGACUGAGACACGGCCCAGACUCCUACGGGAGGCAGCAGUGGGGAAUAUUGCACAAUGGGCGAAAGCCUGAUGCAGCAACGCCGCGUGAGGGAUGAAGGCCUUCGGGUUGUAAACCUCUUUUAGCAGUGAAGAAGCGAAAGUGACGGUACCUGCAGAAAAAGCACCGGCUAACUACGUGCCAGCAGCCGCCGUAA